rnacentral:rRNA from 1 species
GAGCAACCUGCCCCGAAGACUGGGAUAACACCGGGAAACCGGUGCUAAUACCGGAUGCCCUCCUCUGGUCGCAUGGCCUAAGGAGGAAACGAAUUUUGCUUCGGGAGGGGCUCGCGGGCUAUCAGCUAGUUGGUGAGGUAACGGCUCACCAAGGCGACGACGGCUAGCUGGUCUGAGAGGACGACCAGCCACACUGGGACUGAGACACGGCCCAGACUCCUACGGGAGGCAGCAGUGGGGAAUCUUGCGCAAUGGGCGAAAGCCUGACGCAGCAACGCCGCGUGGGGGAUGAAUGCCUUCGGGUUGUAAACCCCUUUCAGCAGGGACGAAUCUGACGGUACCUGCAGAAGAAGCCCCGGCCAACUACGUGCCAGCAGCCGCGGUAAUACGUAGGGGGCGAGCGUUGUCCGGAUUUAUUGGGCGUAAAGAGCUCGUAGGCGGCUUGGCAAGUCGGGUGUGAAACCUCCAGGCUUAACCUGGAGACGCCACUCGAUACUGCCAUGGCUAGAGUCCGGUAGGGGACCACGGAAUUCCUGGUGUAGCGGUGAAAUGCGCAGAUAUCAGGAGGAACACCGGUGGCGAAGGCGGUGGUCUGGGCCGGCACUGACGCUGAGGAGCGAAAGCGUGGGUAGCAAACAGGAUUAGAUACCCUGGUAGUCCACGCCGUAAACGUUGGGCACUAGGUGUGGGGCCUUAUCAACGGGUUCCGUGCCGUAGCUAACGCAUUAAGUGCCCCGCCUGGGGAGUACGGCCGCAAGGCUAAAACUCAAAGGAAUUGACGGAAUCGA